CACGUAGGGUGCGAGCGUUGUCCGGAAUUAUUGGGCGUAAAGAGCUCGUAGGCGGUGUGUCGCGUCGGCCGUGAAAAACCUGCAGCUUAACUGUGGGCUUGCGGUCGAUACGGGCAUCACUGGAGUUCGGCAGGGGAGACUGGAAUUCCUGGUGUAGCGGUGAAAUGCGCAGAUAUCGAGGAGGAACACCGGUGGGCGAAGGCGGGUCUCUGGGCC
rnacentral:rRNA from 1 species